rnacentral:rRNA from 1 species
GGAUAGCUAUANCNGUCUGUCAAGUAACACUGUUACACAAUUCUNCUGUUUGACAUGGCGUGUUUACCCAGAUGANAUUUAGGGGUCCACUUCUGGUGGCGCGCACACAGGUGCUGCAUGGCUGUCAGUCAGCUUCUGUUGUCGUGAGAUGUUGGUGUUAUAGUCCNCGCAACGAUGCANCAACACUCACGUCACAUUAGUUGCCAUCAUUUCANNUUGGGCACUNUAGGUGUAGACUUUUCCGGUGUAUUAAGUCCAGCGAGNGAAUGGUGUUGGAUGACUGUCAAGUCCUUCAUGGCCCUUUACAGUGUGAUUGGUCUACAUCUACAGUGCGUACAAUGUCGGUGACAGUGGGACUGCUGUAAUGGAUNCUGAUCUGGAUGCAAGAAUCCCCGAGAAAGCCGUUCUUCAAGUUCUGGA